CUUCGUCGACGUUUCAGUGGCGACGAGGAUGGGAUCCGAUAUGGCGUGCCGCCAUAUCGGAUCCCAUCCUCGUCGCCACUGAAACGUCGACCAGA
rnacentral:pre_miRNA from 1 species